GAUGAACGCUGACGGCGUGCCUAAUACAUGCAAGUCGAGCGAACGGACGAGAGGCUUGCUUCUCUGAUGUUAGCGGCGGACGGGUGAGUAACACGUGGAUAACCUACCUAUAAGACUGGGAUAACUUCGGGAAACCGGAGCUAAUACCGGAUAAUAUUUUGAACCGCAUGGUUCAAAAGUGAAAGACGGUCUUGCUGUCACUUAUAGAUGGAUCCGCGCUGCAUUAGCUAGUUGGUAAGGUAACGGCUUACCAAGGCAACGAUGCAUAGCCGACCUGAGAGGGUGAUCGGCCACACUGGAACUGAGACACGGUCCAGACUCCUACGGGAGGCAGCAGUAGGGAAUCUUCCGCAAUGGGCGAAAGCCUGACGGAGCAACGCCGCGUGAGUGAUGAAGGUCUUCGGAUCGUAAAACUCUGUUAUUAGGGAAGAACAUAUGUGUAAGUAACUGUGCACAUCUUGACGGUACCUAAUCAGAAAGCCACGGCUAACUACGUG
rnacentral:rRNA from 1 species